GGAUCCAGACUUUGAUUCUGGCUCAGGAUGAACGCUGGCGGCGCAUUUAAGACAUGCAAGUCGAACGAAAAUUUACGCUUAAAGAGUUGAUUAGUUUACUAAGAGAUGAUUUAUUGUAAAUUUUAGUGGCGGACUGGUGAGUAAUACAUAGGUAAUCUGCCUUUUAGAGGGGAAUAACUAGGAGAAAUCCUAGCUAAUACCGCGUAAGACCACACUUAGGCAUCUAAGAGAGGUCAAAGGAGUAAUCCGCUAAAAGAUGAGCCUGUGGCUGAUUAGUUAGUUGGUGGGGUAAGAGCCUACCAAGACGAUGAUCAGUAGCCGAGCUGAGAGGCUGGCCGGCCACAUUGGGACUGAGAUACGGCCCAGACUCCUACGGGAGGCAGCAGUUGGGAAUAUUGGACAAUGGAGGAAACUCUGAUCCAGUGACGCCGCGUGAAGGAAGAAGGUCUUCGGAUUGUAAACUUAUUUUAUCAGGGAAGAAGAAAGUGACAGUACCUGAAGAAAAAGGACCGGCAAACUACGUGCCAGCAGCCGCGGUAAUACGUAGGGUCCAAGCGUUAUCCGGAUUUACUGGGUGUAAAGGGCGAGUAGACGGCGCUGUAAGUCAGCUGUGAAAACUUAGGGCUCAACCUUAAGCCUGCAGCUGAAACUGUAGUGCUAGAGUGCAGGAGAGGUAAGCGGAAUUCCUAGUGUAGCGGUGAAAUGCGUAGAUAUUAGGAGGAACACCAGUGGCGAAGGCGGCUUACUGGACUGUAACUGACGUUGAGGCGCGAAAGUGUGGGGAGCAAACAGAAUUAGAUACCCUGGUAGUCCACACCGUAAACGAUGGAUACUAGGUGUAGGCGAGAUAUCGUCUGUGCCGGCGCAAACGCA
rnacentral:rRNA from 1 species